rnacentral:rRNA from 1 species
GACGAACGCUGGCGGCGUGCUUAACACAUGCAAGUCGAACGGAAAGGCCCUGCUUUUGUGGGGUGCUCGAGUGGCGAACGGGUGAGUAACACGUGAGUAACCUGCCCUUGACUUUGGGAUAACUUCAGGAAACUGGGGCUAAUACCGGAUAGGAGCUCCUGCUGCAUGGUGGGGGUUGGAAAGUUUCGGCGGUUGGGGAUGGACUCGCGGCUUAUCAGCUUGUUGGUGGGGUAGUGGCUUACCAAGGCUUUGACGGGUAGCCGGCCUGAGAGGGUGACCGGCCACAUUGGGACUGGGAUACGGCCCAGACUCCUACGGGAGGGAGCAGUGGGGAAUAUUGCACAAUGGGCGGAAGCCUGAUGCAGCAACGCCGCGUGCGGGAUGACGGCCUUCGGGUUGUAAACCGCUUUCGCCUGUGACGAAGCGUGAGUGACGGUAAUGGGUAAAGAAGCACCGGCUAACUACGUG